UCGGGUCACCCAUCUCUCAAAUUCGGAUAGUAUAUAUUCUCUUUCUCAUACACACAACGUAUUACAUCCUCACCUUCCUGAAACCCUAAAUCCCAAAAUACUCUGCUCUUCUUUUUCUUUUCCAUUGUUCAACGAUAAUAGAAGGGCUUGAUGUUAAUGACAUAUCUGAAGAUGCAAGACAAGAUGAAAAUGAAUCCUUAUUCAUCGAUCAAUUGUUUAAUUCAUUAAACCGUUGAUGUUUUUGGAUUCGUAAAUCAUUGGUGUUCUUUAUUCUUCAUAUUUGAGAGAAGAUAGUUACUACUGGGACGGAAUCUACUACAAAACUGGAAAUAAUGGCUUUAAUAGGAAUGGUUAUGUGUUGAUAAACCUAUUUAAUUUAGAUAUGUGCUUUUAUUUAGAUUUCAUGUAAAUAAUGUCAUUUUGAAUUUGAUUAUUGUUGACUAAUCGGUCCGUGUUAGUAGUCGAAGUGGAAUUGUUGGUGUUACCAAACCACGUUGUGUGGCGGUUUCCGCAAACGCAAGGUAGGUGACUUUUGGGCUUGAUGUUGGUCUCUCGAAGGAGGUCAGUUUUCAAUUUAGGCAUGACAAAAGGAUUGAAGAGAGUUGUUCUUUCAAGUUCUUUGCUGGGCUUUGAGCUCUGAUUUCAGAAGUUGAAGAUAUUCUGAGCUCUGAUUGCCUAUGACUCCA